rnacentral:rRNA from 1 species
AGUGAACGCUGGCGGUAGGCCUAACACAUGCAAGUCGAACGGCAGCACAGUAAGAGCUUGCUCUUACGGGUGGCGAGUGGCGGACGGGUGAGGAAUACAUCGGAAUCUACUUUUUCGUGGGGGAUAACGUAGGGAAACUUACGCUAAUACCGCAUACGACCUACGGGUGAAAGCAGGGGAUCUUCGGACCUUGCGCGAUUGAAUGAGACGAUGUCGGAUUAGCUAGUUGGCGGGGUAAAGGCCCACCAAGGCAAGGAUACGUAGCUGGUCUGAGAGGAUGAUCAGCCACACUGGAACUGAGACACGGUCCAGACUCCUACGGGAGGCAGCAGUAGGGAAUAUUGGACAAUGGGCGCAAGCCUGAUCCAGCCAUACCGCGUGAGUGAAGAAGGCCUUCGGGUUGUAAAGCCCUUUUGUUGGGAAAGAAAAGCAGCAUGUUAAUACCCCGCUGUUCUGACGGUACCCAAACAAUAAGCACCGGCUAACUUCGUG